rnacentral:pre_miRNA from 1 species
UCCCUCGCUGAUGGGAUAACGGGUAGCACGAUAGGAAGACAAGCUGUUGCGCAGGCUAGUCUCCUCGAUCGUGUUACCCAAUGUCUCAUCGCUGCUGAACCG